UACGUAGGUGGCACGCGUUGUCCGGAAUUAUUGGGCGUAACGCGCUCGCAGGCGGUCCUUUAAGUCUGAUGUGAAAGCCCACGGCUCAACCGUGGAGGGUCAUUGGAAACUGGGGGACUUGAGUACAGAAGAGAAGAGUGGAAUUCCACGUGUAGCGGUGAAAUGCGUAGAGAUGUGGAGGAACACCAGUGGCGAAGGCGACUCUUUGGUCUGUAACUGACGCUGAGGCGCGAAAGCGUGGGGAGCAAACAGG
rnacentral:rRNA from 1 species